rnacentral:lncRNA from 1 species
UUCCGCUUCCGGUCCGCAGAGACCCGGAGUCCGAAUUCAGAGGCCCCAGUCUGUAGUCCCGGAAGAAUGAAGAUUUAAAUACGAGGCCAUGGCUAAACAUCUGAAGUUCAUUGCCAGGACAGUGAUGGUUCAGGAGGGGAACGUGGAAGGUGCCUACCGGACCCUGAACAGGUAAAAUGAGUCGAGUCUUGCCUGGACCAGCCGUGGGAAAUGUGAGGUGAUCCUGCACCCAGCCUACCACCUCAUAAAGCCUACCACUGGUGCCAGCUCUGUGUAGGCUCUGAAUACCACCACCUCCACCUCCUCCUUUUUUCCUCCUCCUCCUCCUCUUUCUUCUUCCUCCUCUUCUUCUUUUAAAUUUAUUUAUUGUGCAUACAGUGUUCUACCUGCAUGUAUGCCUGCAUAUCAGAAGAGGGCACCAGAUCUCAGUACAGAUGGUUGUGAGUCACCAUGUGGUAGCUGGGAAUUGAACUCAAGGCCUCUGGAAGAGCAGCCAGUGCUCUUAACUACUGAGUCAUCUCUCCAGCCCCUCUGGACACUUCUUAUCCCUUCAGUUUAUUAUCCUAAAAAUGAAGUUCUCCAAAUUCAGCUCGAUGGAGCUUAUCCAACAAGCAGCUAUCAUCCCUUGAUGAUAAAUCUGAGUUCUAUCCAAAGACCCCGAAAAACUGCUGGGCACACUGUAAUCCCAGCACCUGGGAGGUAGAGACAGGAAGA